rnacentral:lncRNA from 1 species
CUCACUCGGUCGACCCCGCGCGCGCACACAGCCCGCGUCCUCUUCGCCCCCGGCUCGGUCCUGCCCCGCGUCCCUGCAGUUCACAAAGGGUAAGAGGGCGCCAUUGGGGCUCUGUGGGGCGCCCCCGCUGAGGAUGUUGUCGGCCGCGCUCUCCAUCUCCUCUAUGGUCAUGUCGCAGGCGUCGGCCAGCUCCUGGGUGGUGACCUCGAUGAACUUGGGAUCUUGAGCAAACUGCCCCAGUCCUUCUGAAAUCAAGACCUGAAGGAGCGGGGUGGGAGCCAUGAAGAACCAAAGGAACAUUACUCCUGGAGCCCAGCUCUUCCCUUGAGGGCUAGAGCGAGGGGGUAUCUGAGAGAAGCUUGUUUGGCUUGGUACUGGACUUGGGAUGAGAGCUCUUCCUUCUACGUUCCAAGAGAGAAGCUUCUUUGGCUUGGUACUGGACUUGGGAUGACAGCUCUGCUUCUCUGAGGGCCGUCCUGACCAGGGCAAACAGGGUGGCAUUGAACAUGACUGUCCCGUCGCUGUUCAGAGGCAUGUUCAUGGAGACCAGGCGCUGCAGGCGAAGAGAAGCAAAGCUGGUGAUGAUGGCAGGCGGUGCUUAGGGGACCGCAGAACACCGUGGCAGAGUGAUAUGGUUUGGCUCUGUGUCCUCGCCCAAAUCUCAUGUUGAAUUGUAAUCCCCAGAAUUGGAGGUGGGGCCUGAUGGAAGGUGAUUGCAUCAUGGGGUGGAUUUCUCAUAAAUGGUUUGGUACCAUCCCCUUGGUGAGUGAGUACUCAUGAGAUCUGCUUGUUUAAGUAAGUGUGUGGUCCCUCCCCCUUCUCUCUUGCUCCCUGUCUGUCCAUGUGACGUACCUGCCUCCCCUUUGCCUUCCACCAUGAUUGAUUGGAAGCUUCCUGAGGCCUCCCCAGAAGCAGAAUGCUAGUGCCAU